CUAGUAACGGCGAGUGAAGAGGGAAAAGCUCAAAUUUAAAAGCUGUUGUCUUUCAGGCAACCGCAUUGUAAUCUCAAGAAGUGUUUUCGAUUGUAGCCUGCGUAUAAGUACCUUGGAAUAGGUUGGCAUAGAGGGUGAAACUCCCGUCUUUGAUGCAGAUUACUAUGAUCAUGUGAUACACUUUCUAAGAGUCGAGUUGUUUGGGAAUGC
rnacentral:rRNA from 1 species